AGAGUUUGAUUCUGGCUCAGGACGAACGCUGGCGGCGUGCUUAAUACAUGCAAGUCGAACGGUUAAAGCUCAUUUCGGUGAGUGUAUAAAGUGGCGAACGGGUGAGUAACGCGUAAGAAACCUACCUAUGAGUGAGGAAUACCUAUUGGAAACAGUAGUUAAUACCUCAUAUCUCAACUAAAGGCAUCUUUGGUUGACUAAAGAUUUAUCGUUCAUAGAUGGUCUUGCGUCUGAUUAGUUAGUUGGUGAGGUAAUGGCUCACCAAGGCAACGAUCAGUAGCUGGUCUGAGAGGAUGAUCAGCCACAUUGGGACUGAGAUACGGCCCAGACUCCUACGGGAGGCAGCAGUAGGGAGUAUUGGUCAAUGGACGCAAGUCUGAACCAGCAACGCCGCGUGAGGGAUGAAGCAUCUAGGUGUGUAAACCUCUGUCAGAAGGGAAGAAAAAGUUUUACGGAACAAUUGACGGUACCUUCAGAGGAAGCUCCGGCUAACUUCGUGCCAGCAGCCGCGGUAAUACGAGGGGAGCAAGCGUUGUCCGGAAUCAUUGGGCGUAAAGAGCAUGUAGGCGGCUUGUUAAGUUAGGGGUGAAAGUUUGCGGCUUAACCGUAAAAUUGCCUUUAAUACUGGCAGGCUUGAGUGCAGAAGAGGAAAGUGGAAUUCCUGGUGUAGCGGUGAAAUGUGUAGAUAUCAGGAAGAACACCGGUAGCGAAGGCGGCUUUCUGGUCUGCAACUGACGCUGAGAUGCGAAAGUGUGGGGAGCGAACAGGAUUAGAUACCCUGGUAGUCCACACCGUAAACGAUGGAUACUAGAUGUUAGAGGUUCGUCGCUUCUAGUGUCGCAGCUAACGCGUUAAGUAUCCCGCCUGGGGAGUACGCUCGCAAGAGUGAGACUCAAAGGAAUUGACGGGGGCCCGCACAAGCGGUGGAGCAUGUGGUUUAAUUCGAUGCAACGCGAAAAACCUUACCUAGACUUGACAUCCAGAGAAUUUUUAGAAAUAAAAAGUGCCCGCAAGGGAAUUCUGAGACAGGUGAUGCAUGGCUGUCGUCAGCUCGUGUCGUGAGAUGUUGGGUUAAGUCCCGCAACGAGCGCAACCCCUAUCAUUAGUUGCCAUCAAGUUAUGUUGGGCACUCUAGUGAGACUGCCGGUGACAAACCGGAGGAAGGUGGGGAUGACGUCAAGUCAGUAUGUCCCUUACGUCUAGGGCUACACACGUGCUACAAUGGUAAGUACAAAGAGUUGCAAGACUGUGAAGUGGAGCUAAUCUCAAAAAACUUAUCUCAGUUCGGAUCGUAGUCUGCAAUUCGACUACGUGAAGUUGGAAUCGCUAGUAAUCGCGAAUCAGCGUGUCGCGGUGAAUACGUUCCCGGGCCUUGUACACACCGCCCGUCAAGCCAUGGAAGCUGGUCACGCCCGAAGUAGUUACCCUAACCUUUCGGGGGGG
rnacentral:rRNA from 1 species